rfam:Schistosoma haematobium scaffold128_13, whole genome shotgun sequence.
AUUCAGCCGAUGAGUCCCCAAUAAGACGAAACAUGUGUCUCGGAU